UACGUAGGGGGCAAGCGUUGUCCGGAAUCAUUGGGCGUAAAGAGCGUGUAGGCGGUUCGGUAAGUCGGCUGUGAAAGUCCAGGGCUCAACCCUGGGAUGCCGGUCGAUACUGCCGGACUGGAGUUCGGCAGGGGAGACUGGAAUUCCUGGUGUAGCGGUGAAAUGCGCAGAUAUCAGGAGGAACACCGGUGGCGAAGGCGGGUCUCUGGGCCGAUACUGACGCUGAGGAGCGAAAGCGUGGGGAGCGAACAGG
rnacentral:rRNA from 1 species